rnacentral:rRNA from 1 species
AGUGAACGCUGGCGGUAGGCCUAACACAUGCCAGUCGAACGGCAGCACAGUAAGAGCUUGCUCUUACGGGUGGCGAGUGGCGGACGGGUGAGGAAUACAUCGGAAUCUACUUUUUCGUGGGGGAUAACGUAGGGAAACUUACGCUAAUACCGCAUACGACCUACGGGUGAAAGCAGGGGAUCUUCGGACCUUGCGCGAUUGAAUGAGCCGAUGUCGGAUUAGCUAGUUGGCGGGGUAAAGGCCCACCAAGGCGACGAUCCGUAGCUGGUCUGAGAGGAUGAUCAGCCACACUGGAACUGAGACACGGUCCAGACUCCUACGGGAGGCAGCAGUGGGGAAUAUUGGACAAUGGGCGCAAGCCUGAUCCAGCCAUACCGCGUGGGUGAAGAAGGCCUUCGGGUUGUAAAGCCCUUUUGUUGGGAAAGAAAAGCAGCAGGUUAAUACCCCGCUGUUCUGACGGUACCCAAAGAAUAAGCACCGACUAACUUCGUG